rnacentral:lncRNA from 1 species
GUGAGACCCAGAACUGCAGCAGUCAUUUCACCACAAUCCUGAAGUGGAAGCCAAUCGAGAUUUGGAACAAGGAAGAGAAUCAGUUGUGAAACUGAUCAUGGUAUGUAAAAUUAUUAAACUGCCUCAACUGAAACUGACAUACAGCUCAAGUUUUAUACUUCACAGCACCUAUGAUCCAAAAGAAAAAGGGGACUUUCCAUGAAAUCAGAUUAAAUAAAGACUUCAGCCUUGGCCCUUUCCUCAUUCUAAAGUUCUGCUAUCAGCUUCAUAAAUCACCUAGGUCUAAAGGAUGUAAAACAGUGAGCUUCUCUUGAUCGUCAGCUGGAUCCAAGAACAAGGUACUCAAUUUCAUGUUCAGAAAUCCAAAGAGCCCGAGGAACACAUUUCACAGACUUCUACCAGCAAAGGAAGCUUGCAUAUUUACUCUGCGAUUUGGCAAUUUGAGUUUAUUUCUGUCACAGUAAGAUGUUACAGGAGGAGGAGCAAACUACUAGUGGGUUCUCCUUUUGAAUCUGGAAUGAAUUUACUGAUGGUUCAUCAUCUUGGCCCUGAAAAAUACUGUUGUAACAAUGAAACUAUAUGUUUUUAAAGUAUUUUUAAUGGAAAUAACAUAGAUAACCAUAAGAAUAUUUUUAAAAAUUAAUUUUCAUUUUUCUUGCAUACCUUUGCAUUUACUUUUUAUAUUCCUAGUAGUGGCAGGAGUAUUAAUAAAGCAAUGAUGAUUUUUGUCAUUAUUACUC